rnacentral:rRNA from 1 species
AUGAAAAUGCUAAUAGACGAUGAUGCCUAUAGAGAUGUCACUGCUAGGCAUACAUCGCCUGGUAUUGUGGGCAGGCUUAUGGGCCUUGACAUAAUGCCUUCACUUGGAGUGCACAGCCAAGAUACAUGUAACGGGGACCGUUCACAGGGCAGGUCACCAGGGAGUUGCAGUGAUAAAUCAGGGAAUUAUAGUGACAGACAUGCCUUCUCGGGAGAUGUUCCACGUAGGGCAAGCACUGAUGAGAUUCCGGAAUUCAAAGAUGUUUUCGAGGUAAUGGAGAGCACCAGAACGAAGAACCGAAACUGUAGCACUUGUUCUGGACAUGACAGGGUUAACAAUGCUGACCUUAAUUUUGUAAGGCAGAAGUUUAUGGAUGCAAAACGCCUUUCGACCGAUGAAUCUUUUCAGAGAUCUAAAGAGUUCAAUAGUGCACUAGAGGCACUGGUAUCAAAUAAAGAUGCUCUCAUGGAAUUUCUUCAAGAAUCCAACAAUGUUGCCGCGAGUGAUCUGUCCGGCCUCGGUUGCCCUCCAUCCUCUGGUGUAAACCGAAUCACGCUAUUGAAACCAUCCAGAAGAAGUAUGUUUAUUGAUGCAGAUAUUGUGUAUCCACCAGAAGAUGACACUGAGCGGUGUUUUCACUCACCAAAAGAAGCAAAGCAUUCUCCAAGGAAGCCUCACAGUAACUUUUCUAGUGAAGCUCCCAAAGAAGAAACUGGCUCUUUCAGACAAAAGUCGUCUAGGUCAAGCUACAGGGAGAGCAUUGAUAAGCGCGUUUCUCCCACUCGGAUUGUUGUCUUGAAACCAUGCCUCGAUAAAAAUCUGAACAUGGAAGGAGCAUUUCCAAUAACCAAUGACAUGUUCUGCUCCAGUUACAGAAGGACUGAAGCAUGCCUAGAUGAUGGCAUUCAAAGGCAGCAAGCAGAAGAAUCCAUGCCUCAGAUCUCCACAGCAUAUCCCGAUGCACGGCGCCAGAGAGCAAAGGAGUCCAGAGAAAUUGCUCGAGAGGUUUCAACACAGAUGAAGACAGCUGCUGUCAGGGGAGGUGCAAAUGGAAAACAGAAACUCAGUCCAGAUAUUGGGACGUCCAACCGGGAUGAGCAGGUGUCUUUGUUGACAUCGAUGGCUAAGCUAAAAAGUUCAGCAGCAUUGCAAAGAUCUUCUGAUCUACAUGAUGCUCCGGAUGGUCCUUGCGCAGGUACUUCACCGACACAUUCAGCUAAGAGAUCAAUUAGGAAGGAAGCAAGGAGACGCCUAGCCGACAGAUGGAAGACGACCCAGCAACAUCAACAUCCAUCUCAAGAUGCUAAUACUACAUUCAGCACACUUGGGGACAUGCUUGCUCUGUCUGACAAAGAGACCUCAAAGUUUACUUCAGGGGCAGCAGCUUGCCGGCCAUGGCCAGAGGGUGAGUCACAUAGGGAUGUGAUGCCAGGAUCAUGUGGCUAUCCUCUUGGUAUCAGCAGCAAUGAUGGCUGGAAAGAUGAGAACAUAUGUGGCUUAACAAGGCUGGAGUCUGUUUCUACUUCAUCCAUCAACCGAGGCAGUCCAAAAUCGAGCAGCAGAAAAGCAAGUAACAGGCAUGGUGAAUAUUCUAUGGCAGAGAACGUCACCGGAUCAGGGCCUUAUAAUUCUGAAGAUUUGCAUCAGGACAGACCAAGGAAAUCGUUAAUCAGAAGUUCGACAUAUCGCUCUGAUGAAAGCGAUGUGCAGUCUCUGGAUGAAGUGCAAAGUGUGGCGACCGAACGCGAGAUCCAUGUGAAUUUUGAAGAACCAGCUUACACCGGUGCAGUGUCAGAGCUAUCUGAAACUGGAGGAAGACUUGUGCAUGGUGGAAAUUCUGUCCAUUUAGAUAGCAGCCAUGCAGUUCCAGAAUGGCAGGGGGAGGCCCAGUCUUCUGCACAGAACAUGAUGCUGGACCAAGAGCACCCAUUCGCAACAGAUGACCAUUUUAUUGUCCCUAGUCCUAGAUAUUCGGCAUCUCAGAUCGAGGGGAAUGGGCACGAUCGAUGUGAUGACAUCGAAGCUCCAUCCGAUCAUCUGACAGAAUUAGUAUCCGUCGUGAGCUCCAACGAAGACGAACAACCGAGUCCGGUGUCUGUCCUCGGAUCGUCCGUGGACGCCGAGGACUGCUGUUCAGGAGGUUUUGAGAAAAUAAGUGCAGAACUUCAAGGGCUCAGGAUGCAACUUCGGCUGCUCAAGAUGGAGGCGACGGGCGACGGGGAUGAUGAAACCGAGCUCGCUUUGUUCAGCGACGACGAUGAAACCGCCGCGAGCUGCGAGCUAGCCAACGAAAGCGCGCCGACAACGUCCCGUGCUUUCCGGGAUGAAGACGAGAGGGACUUCUCUUAUGUGUCUGACAUGCUCACAUUUCUAGCCAACCAGAGCUCUGAGCACGAUCUUCUGCUCGGCGCGCGCUAUCUGUCAUCGGGGUCCCCAGCGCGCGGCGACGCGUACGAUGAGUUCGAAAGGAAGUACGGCGAGCUCGUCCCGUGGGCGCGGCCCGAGAGGCGGCUCCUCUUCGACCUGGCGAACGACAUGCUCGCCAACGUGAUCGCCUGUCUGACGCAGUGCGGCGGUCAGCAGGGGCUGGCGGGGAAGUGUCGGCUGGGCAUGGAAUGGGACAGGGAGAGGAUCGUGGAGGAGGUGUGGGAGAGGGUGCGCCGGCAGCGGCGCGAGACGGAGUGCUUCCAGGAGGAGAAGCUGAUGGGGGUGGGGUGGCUGGACUGCGAGGAUGUCACUGAUGAGAUUGUGGAAGACAUUGGGAGCAUGCUGGGUGAGGAUCUCCUGGAGGAGGCCAUAGCUGACCUGUACCUGCUGGACCUUUUUGGUUAA